rnacentral:rRNA from 1 species
CCUACGGGUGGCAGCAGUCGAGAAUCAUUCACAAUGGGGGAAACCCUGAUGGUGCGACGCCGCGUGGGGGAAUGAAGGUCUUCGGAUUGUAAACCCCUGUCAUGUAGGAGCAAAUUAAAAAGAUAGUACCACAAGAGGAAGAGACGGCUAACUCUGUGCCAGCAGCCGCGGUAAUACAGAGGUCUCAAGCGUUGUUCGGAAUCACUGGGCGUAAGGCGUGCGUAGGCUGUUUCGUAAGUCGUGUGUGAAAGGCGCGGGCUCAACCCGCGGACGGCACAUGAUACUGCGAGACUAGAGUAAUGGAGGGGGAACCGGAAUUCUCGGUGUAGCAGUGAAAUGCGUAGAUAGCGAGAGGAACACUCGUGGCGAAGGCGGGUUCCUGGACAUUAACUGACGCUGAGGCACGAAGGCCAGGGGAGCGAAAGGGAUUAGAUACCCCAGUAGUC